rnacentral:rRNA from 1 species
UACAGAGGGUGCGAGCGUUGUCCGGAAUCACUGGGCGUAAAGGGCGCGUAGGCGGCUUGAUAAGCGUGCGGUGAAAGCCCGGGGCUCAACCCCGGGUCGGCCGUGCGAACUGUCGAGCUGGAGCACUGUAGAGGCAGGUGGAAUUCCGGGUGUAGCGGUGGAAUGCGUAGAGAUCCGGAAGAACACCGGUGGCGAAGGCGGCCUGCUGGGCCAUAACUGACGCUGAGGAGCGAAAGCAUGGGGAGCGAACAGG